rnacentral:rRNA from 1 species
AUUGAACGCUGGCGGCAGGCCUAACACAUGCAAGUCGAGCGGAUGAAGGGAGCUUGCUCCUGGAUUCAGCGGCGGACGGGUGAGUAAUGCCUAGGAAUCUGCCUGGUAGUGGGGGAUAACGUCCGGAAACGGGCGCUAAUACCGCAUACGUCCUGAGGGAGAAAGUGGGGGAUCUUCGGACCUCACGCUAUCAGAUGAGCCUAGGUCGGAUUAGCUAGUUGGUGGGGUAAAGGCCUACCAAGGCGACGAUCCGUAACUGGUCCGAUAGGAUGCUCAGUCACACUGGAACUGAGACACGGUCCAGACUCCUACGGGAGGCAGCAGUGGGGAAUAUUGGACAAUGGGCGAAAGCCUGAUCCAGCCAUGCCGCGUGUGUGAAGAAGGUCUUCGGAUUGUAAAGCACUUUAAGUUGGGAGGAAGGGCAGUAAGUUAAUACCUUGCUGUUUUGACGUUACCAACAGAAUAAGCACCGGCUAACUUCGUG